AAUUAAAAGAAUUUUUUAUUACAAAUCAACAUAUUUAUACAUUUGUACAUCUCGCAUACUGCUGUACACGUUCACCCACAUAAUCAUUAAUUCAGAAAGCAUUAACAGUAUCAAUUUCCAUCGGACCAAUUUAAUGCAAGGGACUUUUAGUUUUGUAACCAAACAUUACAGAACAUCAUUAUCUUUCUUUUUUCCUUUACAAAUAGCAGCACGUUUAAUUAUCAGUGCUCACAGGGCAUAAGCUCUAAAGUUUUGUACAGCAGGAGAAAACAAAACAGUAGAGGUAAUAGGAGGGCAACUCAGUGGAAAGGUACUGGUUACAGCAGAGUUAGAUCUAAGCAAAUAGAGAAGAGUAAUAAAAUGAAUUUACCUCUUACAACUGUAGAAAAUAACAUUUUUAAUGCCAUUCGGGAUAGGAGUCCAGCAAAUAGGAGAUUUUGUUAUAGAGACUAAGCAGACAGUUGGGAUAAUGCUUGUGUUUUCCAGCAUCUCAUAGAGGUCUCAAAACAUACGUACUCCCCAUCCCUACCACCACCUCUCCACAGCUGACGUUAUUUGGGUUUCGUGAUGUUGAUGUGCUUAAGUGAUGCUAAGGAACAUCCAGAGCUCUCCAGACUUAUACCCACAAUUUAGUGUUAGAACUGUGACACGAGUUAGAGCUUUUGGAGGUUGGAGUGUGGGCACUGACUGCAACUUCCCCUAGAAGCCCAGAGGCCACCAUGCUGCCUGAAGCAGUCAGCCCAUAGGUACGUGCGAUGUGCUCUGUAUAACAAAAUUUGUUUUCUCCAUGCUUUCAGCCCAUUAUUCUUGUACUAUUAUUGACGUGAUAAUUUGACCUCUUUAAAUCAUAGAAAUUAAGACCUAUCUGAAAUUCUCUGUAGUCAUAAGCAUACGGCUAUUCAUUUGAACAGAGUAUCAGAUUAUGGGCAUUUUUUUUUCUUUUUUUCCCCCCUUCCUGCCUCAGGGAGUGAAAAACCAUCACAUGAUGACAUACAAAUUAUAGGUAAUUUUUAUGAGAUGAAGAAUGGAUAUGUGAAAGCAUGAAAGAGUAGAAAGGGAGUUAACAAGUGCUUUUUGUAUGCGUCAGCCACCGUGACAGAAGAUGACUAAUAAGGUCAGAAGUGCAGCAUUUCUGUAAUUAGAAAUUACGUGGUAAAUGUGCCUAUCUGUGGAAGCAUCUGUGCGAGAAGCUAAGCUCAGCUGUAGCACCCUGGAUCACAGGCACUCGGUGACAUUAAAACAAAUACCUGCACUGCUGUUUGGAUCUCAACACAUAGAAAACUGAGGACGUUUGUUGGCAAAAAAAAAAAAAAGAAAAAAAAAAGAAAAAGGCUAAAAAGAAGAAUUAGAAAUAUUUUAUCAAGAGCUACAUUAAGAAAAAAAUAUUCUGACUGAAUCUCAUGUCUCCAAAAGCAGGUCUAAGAACUCCUAAAGAUCACAUCAAGCUUAACCUCCCAGAGCCUGAGAGGUGUAGAGGUUGCCCUGCCAAAGGGCACUUCAGCGCAGACACCUUUCAUGCAUUUCCUGGCUAUAAGAUAGAGAAGAACACGCACCCCUCUGACACAGGCUACCAUCUCCUCUGGUUGAGUGUUAUCCCAGCUGCUGAAGUGCCACACACACACACUGCAACGGCAUCCUUCACCUGCAGCCUCCCUCCUAGGCCCUACCUCAGCCUCACACUCCGCCUUUGCUUUUUUAUGUUGCUAUUGAGGGACGUGCGCUUUAACUCAUCCACGUGAGUUCUACCACACAACUUAACUGAAAAAAAGAAAAGAAGAAAACAGGUGAAAAUGUAUAAACAAAUGUCAGGGUUUUUCCACUCCACCUUCCCGGAGAACUAAAAAGAUCCAAUCUCCCAAAUUGAACAUUAAUCACCUUCUUGGUCAUCUGUGAUUGCAAGUCUGCUACCUUAGCAUUGUUCCUAUUCACGUAGUUCCUUUGGAUGUAGAAUUAAUUUGUUUCUACUGUAUUUUAAAUCAAAAGUAAAAACCAGAAGAAAAUCUUUAUCAAUAGCUUUUCAUAUUUUACAGAUGUAUCUUUUCACGCAAUAACAAUUAACACUUCUCCUGUGAUCUGAAUAAUAUGAGCUCUAUUCCAUUGCGACACGAAUUGACAGAGUUCAUCACUACCUCAUGGCCUGAAUGUUUUAACCACGGAGAGCACUGUCUGCUUUAUUACCUCCCUAUUAGAUAGAAACAAAGAGCACGCUGAGGAUGCUCACAGCAGAAGGAAGCAUCUAUGAAUGGCGUGCCAAUGAACACAGCAGGCUUAUCCGAUCUUCGUAAAGCCUCUCCCCUACCAGCAGCUAUUCUGAAGACACAGAACUACAAAGCUGUCACUGCUGUUUGUACACAGGUUGUUCAGGAAUACGAGACACAGAACCUGCUCACACCAAGGCUACAUGGGAGAAUCACUCGUACCACAACUCAGAAAUGAGAGAGACAGCCUUUUGGAAGGUGCUUUUCAUUAAGUUUGUCUUUCAUGCCUGAGCAGAAGGAGCUGCAAAACUUUUCUUUAAACUCAACAAAACAGCUAAACUUUUCUGAUUUCAGACUCAGGAAAAAGAAAGAUUCAAAGGACUUUUACGUCCAAGACAAAGAAAUGGAUAUUUCCCCCCAACCCUCCAGAUGUAGUCUGGUUGCCCAUUUCUGGACUGCAACAGCGUUGAAAAAAGCUGUUCCAUAAGCCAACGUUCUGUAACAGGAGAUCUCUUCUGAGACCAUAUCCAGAAGAUACCAUGCAAAUAACCUGCUCUGCUGAAAGUCUCGACUCUGAUUUGGAGCACUAAAGCAGUAAGCAGCCCUACUGGCACUCUCAGCUGCAUUCUGUUCACUCAGCUUAGUAUUUGUUAACUUCACAAAAUUAAAAGAAAUGCUUUCACUUGGAAAUACUAUUUUAUUUGAGUCAGCGUUUUUGCGCCUCUCUUGUGGGAAG
ensembl:lncRNA